rnacentral:rRNA from 1 species
GUGGGGAAUAUUGGGCAAUGGGCGAAAGCCUGACCCAGCAACGCCGCGUGAAGGAAGAAGGUCUUCGGAUCGUAAACUUCUAUCCUUGGUGAAGAUAAUGACGGUAGCCGAGAAGGAAGCCCCGGCUAACUACGUGCCAGCAGCCGCGGUAAUACGUAGGGGGCAAGCGUUGUCCGGAAUGAUUGGGCGUAAAGGGCGCGUAGGCGGCCUGGUAAGUCUGGAGUGAAAGUCCUGCUUUUAAGGUGGGAAUUGCUUUGGAUACUGUCGGGCUUGAGUGCAGGAGAGGUAAGUGGAAUUCCCGGUGUAGCGGUGAAAUGCGUAGAGAUCGGGAGGAACACCAGUGGCGAAGGCGACUUACUGGACUGUAACUGACGCUGAGGCGCGAAAGUGUGUGGAGCAAACAGGAUUAGAAACCCGAGUAGUCC